UACGAAGGGGGCUAGCGUUGCUCGGAAUCACUGGGCGUAAAGGGCGCGUAGGCGGUUGUUCAAGUCAGGUGUGAAAGCCUUGAGCUCAACUCAAGAAAUGCACUUGAUACUGGAUGACUAGAGGACCGGAGAGGAUAGUGGAAUUCCCAGUGUAGUGGUGAAAUACGUAGAGAUUGGGAAGAACACCAGUGGCGAAGGCGGCUAUCUGGACGGUUUCUGACGCUAAGACGCGAAAGCGUGGGGAGCAAACAGG
rnacentral:rRNA from 1 species